rnacentral:lncRNA from 1 species
CAGAUGCAAACUGACUAGUUAUUUGCUCCAUUGGCAACCUGUACUUUAAUCAAUUAGGGAACAACAGAUUAACUAAAUUUUUUGUUUAUUUAUCAGUUUAGCUUUAAUUUACCGAAUAAAGAAAAUGGGUGAGGGAUUCUUACCCUGAGUUGGUGUCUGAAAUACCACCUUUUUCUCUAUGUUUCCAGACGGUUUUCAAUUCCUGAAUUUCUUGAGUUUUUUUGCUAAAACAAAACUCAUGUCAAAAUUACAUAGAAAUACGCAAAAAAGGGUCAAAAAGGGAAAAAAUCUCACUGAGAGGUCGGUUUAUGAUUCUGGUGCUGAGGCGCCGCCAUGCUCCACUGCCG